CUCUGGACAGGUUUUGAUAAAUCUCCCCCAAUGUGUCUCCACGGAAACAGACUACAAACAAUCCUAUGUGUAGUCUGACCUUUCAGGUGUUUUAUUUUAGGAUGUAUUCACUUCAUCUUUAUGGAAUAUGGAAGAAGUAUACUUUAGUGCUCUCUGUUCAUGCCUAUUUAACAUUCAUGAAGAGGCUAGCAAAGGCCUUGAAACGCGUUUGUUUGCUUUGGCACUUUAAUAAAUGGACCUUCCUUAUAUACAUCACUGAUUGUGAGUAUUUCAUAUGGAUUGCGCCGAAGACCCGUGGAUUUUUUCCUGCUCUCCCUUGAUGUCUUCACUUUAGGCUGAAGACUCCUGACUGCCGGAGCCCGGGUGGCUGCACCGACUUCAUAUGCUGUCAUAGGUGGUUGUGUCUGGCACACACCCACAAAAGAAAGAAGAUUUACACAUCCGGAUGGGAACGUCACCAAUUAUGGGGCCUGCCAGCCAUCUGGGCUCUGCCACUGAUGUCAUCCUACAUUUGUUCUUCAUACACCGUAAUGGGGGCAUAUUAUAGAAGAUCCAUCUGAAAUCACAAGUUGUCUUAUCUAGAUUUAACCCGGAAUGUUCUGGACAGUGAUUGCUGCUCUUAUUUAUGAGGAUCAGGACUAAUCCACCGUUGUGUUUGAUGAGACGCCAUGUUUGUUUGUUUGCUGUACAUGUUGGUUCCUGUAGGGCACAUAAUGUCCUAUCUGUGAAACAAACCUCCCACCUUCCUCUCUCUCUCUCACCACCUUCCCUCUUUACUUUCUUCCUUUCUCCCUCGCUCUCCACAUGCCUCCAUCCCUCU